rnacentral:rRNA from 1 species
AGAGCGAACGCUGGCGGCAGGCUUAACACAUGCAAGUCGAGCGGGCGUAGCAAUACGUCAGCGGCAGACGGGUGAGUAACGCGUGGGAACAUACCUUUUGGUUCGGAACAACUCAGGGAAACUUGGGCUAAUACCGGAUAAGCCCUUACGGGGAAAGAUUUAUCGCCGAAAGAUUGGCCCGCGUCUGAUUAGCUAGUUGGUGAGGUAACGGCUCACCAAGGCGACGAUCAGUAGCUGGUCUGAGAGGAUGAUCAGCCACAUUGGGACUGAGACACGGCCCAAACUCCUACGGGAGGCAGCAGUGGGGAAUAUUGGACAAUGGGCGCAAGCCUGAUCCAGCCAUGCCGCGUGAGUGAUGAAGGCCCUAGGGUUGUAAAGCUCUUUGUGCGGGAAGAUAAUGACGGUACCGCAAGAAUAAGCCCGGCUAACUUCGUGCCAGCAGCCGC